rnacentral:rRNA from 1 species
UACGGGGGGGCAAGCGUUGUUCGGAAUUACUGGGCGUAAAGGGCUCGUAGGUGGCCAACUAAGUCAGACGUGAAAUCCCCAGGCUCAACCUGGGAACUGCGUCUGAUACUGGAUGGCUUGAAUCCGGGAGAGGGAUGCAGAAUUCCAGGUGUAGCGGUGAAAUGCGUAGAUAUCUGGAGGAAUACCGGUGGCGAAGGCGGCAUCCUGGACCGGCAUUGACGCUGAGGAGCGAAAGCUAGGGGAGCAAACGGG